rnacentral:misc_RNA from 1 species
UCCGAGUUGACCCCGGCAGUCUCCUAUGAGUCCCCACCAUCACGUGCUGGCAACAUAGAACGAGGGUUGCGCUCGUUGCGGGACUUAACCCAACAUCUCACGACACGAGCUGACGACAACCAUGCACCACCUGUGAGGCGCCCUUGCGGACCCCGCAUCUCUGCGAGUUUUCACCCCAUGUCAAGCCUUGGUAAGGUUCUUCGCGUUGCAUCGAAUUAAUCCGCAUGCUCCGCCGCUUGUGCGGGCCCCCGUCAAUUCCUUUGAGUUUUAGCCUUGCGGCCGUACUCCCCAGGCGGGGCGCUUAAUGCGUUAGCUGCGGCACGGAACUCGUGGAAUGAGCCCCACACCUAGCGCCCAACGUUUACGGCAUGGACUAC